GACGAACGCUGGCGGCGUGCUUAACACAUGCAAGUCAAACGGUAAGGCCCUUCGGGGUACACGAGUGGCGAACGGGUGAGUAACACGUGGGUGAUCUGCCCUGCACUUCGGGAUAAGCCUGGGAAACUGGGUCUAAUACCGGAUAGGACCACUGCCUGCAUGGGUGGUGGUGGAAAGCUUUUGCGGUGUGGGAUGGGCUCGCGGCCUAUCAGCUUGUUGGUGGGGUGAUGGCCUACCAAGGCGACGACGGGUAGCCGGCCUGAGAGGGUGACCGGCCACACUGGGACUGAGAUACGGCCCAGACUCCUACGGGAGGCAGCAGUGGGGAAUAUUGCACAAUGGGCGCAAGCCUGAUGCAGCGACGCCGCGUGAGGGAUGACGGCCUUCGGGUUGUAAACCUCUUUCAGCACCGACGAAGCGCAAGUGACGGUAGGUGCAGAAGAAGGACCGGCCAACUACGUGCCAGCAGCCGCCGUAA
rnacentral:rRNA from 1 species